rnacentral:rRNA from 1 species
CAGCAGCCGCGGUAAUACAGAGGGUGCGAGCGUUAAUCGGAUUUACUGGGCGUAAAGCGUGCGUAGGCGGCUUCUUAAGUCGGAUGUGAAAUCCCUGAGCUUAACUUAGGAAUUGCAUUCGAUACUGGGAAGCUAGAGUAUGGGAGAGGAUGGUAGAAUUCCAGGUGUAGCGGUGAAAUGCGUAGAGAUCUGGAGGAAUACCGAUGGCGAAGGCAGCCAUCUGGCCUAAUACUGACGCUGAGGUACGAAAGCAUGGAGCAAACAGGAUUAGAUACCCGAGUAGUCCCUGUCUCUUAUACAC